CCACUGGAAGGCGAACUUUGGUUGUUUUGGGUCAGCUGUAGUUCGAUAGAGGCAUUUCCGUUUGCUUUUGCCCUUACCUCUGGCUGAAGCCAUGCAAUUUAUUCUACGCAUGGCUUUGAGGCUGGCAUGAGGCAGCCCCAUGUUCCUGCCUACCAGUCCUUGGCCCCAGGUACCGCAGCCCCAGGUUCCCGGCUACCAGCCCAGCAGAGUGGACUCAUAGGGAUAGGGAGUGGGACCCACUCCAUGGUAAAGGAAGAUUUUGCUACAGGCCCAUCUAGGGUAUAAGGUAUACACUGAAGGGGACAGUAGAUCCGGGAGGUGUCUCAACUGAUGAGCCAUGUUGCAUUUAACUGUUAACCAGAAUGGUCUUUGGAG